rnacentral:lncRNA from 1 species
UCACUUACCUGGACGGGGUCAAUGGGUGAUUAAGAAGGUCCAUGGCCUAGGUUGGUGACCUCCAUUGCACUUAGGAGGGGUGCCUGCCUAAGGUCGGCCCAAGUGGUCGAGCCUACAUCAUAAUUUGUGGCAGUGGAGGCAAGCGUUCGCGCGGCCUCUUCCUAAUUCUUUAGUCUAGAUUGCACUUAGGAGGGGUGCCCGCCUAAGGUCGGCCCAAGUGGUCGAGCCUACGUCAUAAUUUGUGGCAGUGUAGGCCUGCGUUCACGCGGCCUCUU